ACGGCUGCUCAGUAACACGUAGUCAACUUACCCUAUGGACGAGGAUAAUCUCGGGAAACUGAGCAUAAUACUCGAUAGAUCAUAAUGCCUGGAAUGGUUUAUGGUUAAAAUGAUUCGUCGCCAUUGGAUGGGACUGCGGCCUAUCAGCUUGUUGGUGAGGUAAUGGCCCACCAAGGCGAUAACAGGUACGGGCUCUGAGAGGAGAGGCCCGGAGAUGGGUACUGAGACAAGGACCCAGGCCCUAUGGGGCGCAGCAGGCGAGAAAACUUUGCAAUGUGCGAAAGCACGACAAGGUUAGUCCGAGUGAUUUCUGCUAAAGAGAUCUUUUGCUAGUCAUAAAACCACUAGUGAAUAAGGGGUGGGCAAGUUCUGGUGUCAGCCGCCGCGGUAAAACCAGCACCUCAAGUGGUCAGGAUGAUUAUUGGGCCUAAAGCAUCCGUAGCCGGCUCUGUAAGUUUUCGGUUAAAUCUAUGCGCUCAACGUAUGGGCUGCCGAAAAUACUGCAGAGAUAGGGAGUGGGAGAGGUAGACGGUACUCGGUAGGAAGGGGUAAAAUCCUUUGAUCUAUCGAUGACCACCUGUGGCGAAGGCGGUCUACCAGAACACGUUCGACGGUGAGGGAUGAAAGCUGGGGGAGCAAACCGGAUUAGAUACCCGGGUAGUCCCAGCUGUAAACGAUGCAGACUCGAUGAUGCAUUGGCAUAUAGCCAGUGCAGUGUCGCAGGGAAGCCGUUAAGUCUGCCGCCUGGGAAGUACGUACGCAAGUAUGAAACUUAAAGGAAUUGGCGGGGGAGCAG
rnacentral:rRNA from 1 species